AGACAGCAGCCGCCGCGGUAAUACAGAGGGUGCGAGCGUCAAUCGGAUUUACUGGGCGUAAAGCGUGCGUAGGCGGCUUUUUAAGUCGGAUGUGAAAUCCCUGAGCUUAACUUAGGAAUUGCAUUCGAUACUGGGAAGCUAGAGUAUGGGAGAGGAUGGUAGAAUUCCAGGUGUAGCGGUGAAAUGCGUAGAGAUCUGGAGGAAUACCGAUGGCGAAGGCAGCCAUCUGGCCUAAUACUGACGCUGAGGUACGAAAGCAUGGGGAGCAAACAGGAUUAGAUACCCCGGUAGUCCCUGUCUCUUAUAC
rnacentral:rRNA from 1 species